rnacentral:rRNA from 1 species
GUGCCAGCCGCCGCGGUAAUACCGGCAGCUCAAGUGAUGUCCCAUAUUAUUGGGUCUAAAGCGUCCGUAGCUGGCCGACCAAGUCUACCGGGAAAUCCGCCCGCUCAACGGGCGGCCGUCCAGCGGAACCUGUGUGGCUUGGGACCGGGAGGCCUGAGGGGUACGAUCGGGGUAGGAGUGAAAUCCUGUAAUCCCGCUCGGACCGCCGAUGGGGAAACCACCUCAGGAGAACGGAUCCGACAGUGAGGGACGAAAGCCAGGGUCUCGAACCGGAUUAGAUACCCGGGUAGUCC